rnacentral:rRNA from 1 species
AACGAACGCUGGCGGCAGGCUUAACACAUGCAAGUCGAGCGCAUCCUUCGGGGUGAGCGGCAGACGGGUGAGUAACGCGUGGGAACAUGCCCAAAGGUACGGAACAACUCCGGGAAACUGGAGCUAAUACCGUAUGUGACCGAGAGGUGAAAGAUUUAUCGCCUUUGGAUUGGCCCGCGUUGGAUUAGCUAGUUGGUGGGGUAAAGGCCUACCAAGGCGACGAUCCAUAGCUGGUCUGAGAGGAUGAUCAGCCACACUGGGACUGAGACACGGCCCAGACUCCUACGGGAGGCAGCAGUGGGGAAUAUUGGACAAUGGGCGCAAGCCUGAUCCAGCCAUGCCGCGUGUGUGAUGAAGGCCUUAGGGUUGUAAAGCACUUUCGCCAGGGACGAUAAUGACGGUACCUGGAUAAGAAGCCCCGGCUAACUUCGUGCCAGCCGCCGCCGUAAGAC